rnacentral:lncRNA from 1 species
AAAAAUUUAAAAAUUAAGACGGGUCCUAUAAACCAAAAAAAAAGAAAAGAAGAGGAAGUAGCGCUAUGGACGGCAUUUGUUUUAGACGACCGCAGACGGCAUUUAAGGAGUCCAAAAAAACGGUGUUGGGUGGGUCGGUGGGACUUUCUGUCACUGCACGCGACUAUAGUUUGAGACUUGGAGUCGAGUCGCGGUCGUGGUCUCGUGGGUGACCUCACGCCCGCACCUGCUCCGAACUCGCACCGUCGCACGGCACGACCAACGCGACUCCGGUGUACCGAGUCGCACUGACGUGUGUUUUGCAGCUUUGGUGCGUGGUGUGGGGAUCACCAUCCCGUGCGUCUCCCCAGUGGGGCGUCCCUCUCACACAGGAGUUGCAUGGGUUUGCCCAAGCACGUACGGCCGCGUUUAGCCUCCGUUUUUUCUUCGUUUUUUUGGCUCACUUCCAUCCGAUCUAAUUAACCAUCUCGUGUGGAACAAACGUACGAUUACCGCUAAAUAAACGUGUAGUACGCAGUUAACCUCACACACGCUGAAACAAAAAAGCAGACAAAGACCACAGUACACGGCCUCCAAAACGAGAUAGCGCCGUCUACCGAAAGUCGGCCUUGAUUUCUUCGAAGUCUUAUCGUCUCGUGACACACGGUCCGACAAGACACGCCGGCCGAAAGUUCUUUGGAAGGAGUGCUUGAGACUACGGGAGGCUGAGCCGGUGUGGUUUAUGGCAAUAUGAAAACGGUACGUGCCAGUGAUGACGACGCUUGUUGGCGUCAGAGCGGAAAAGAAGACGAACCCCGCACUACCGGCCGAGAACCCACGCGAAAGGAACCGAACGCGCUUCACGGUGCGUACGUACCUCGGCCCUCGGGUGGCUUCUCCGGUCGGUCGGCGCCGAUAGAUGCGCACGGCGGGGAGAGGAAGGCGGUGGCGGACUCCGGUCGUUGAAGGCGCUGGCUAGCUUCCGGUGGAGAACCUAGCUAGCUUCUGGCCAGUAGGCGGUGCAGCUAGCAAGCGCGUCUGACACGCGCGGCAUAUAUACGGGUACGUCCUUGGCUGUGUGGGUAGCUAGGGGUGGCUUUGGCUUUGCGUACGGUGGUGAGCAAGGAAGCGCGAUCAGUGGCGUGUGCCUUUUCUUUAGAUUUGGAGGACUUGUGCAGCGCUGGCCUCCCGGGGGCUCUCCUUUUAUAGGACUGUGAGAUGCUGAGGUGACAUUAGCAUGCUAUCCGUGCGAAUAUUCUAAGGCUGGCCAUAGCGGGGAGUAUCUUAUAGUAAUAUUAUGCAUAUGAUAUUAUUACUAGCAAAAGAGCCCGUGCAUUGCAACGGGAGAAUGCAAGGCCUGAGAAUCGGACUCGAAGGCAUAGAUAUUCUAAUGGUGCAGUAUUAUCGAACAUGUCAAAUAUGUACCCUUAGGAUCCUUAUGCAUGUGAGAUAGCAUUACGGAUUUUUGUUCACGUUUAACUCACUUUUCU